CCGAUAGAGGGGAAUAACUACUGGAAACGGUGGCUAAUACCGCAUAAUGUCUACGGACCAAAGCAGGGGCUCUUCGGACCUUGCACUAUCGGAUGAACCCAUAUGGGAUUAGCUAGUAGGUGGGGUAAAGGCUCACCUAGGCGACGAUCUCUAGCUGGUCUGAGAGGAUGAUCAGCCACACUGGGACUGAGACACGGCCCAG
rnacentral:rRNA from 1 species